rnacentral:rRNA from 1 species
GUCGAGAAUCUUCCGCAAUGCGCGAAAGCGUGACGGAGCGACACCGCGUGAUGGAUGAAGUCCUUCGGGGCGUAAACAUCUUUUAUAAAGGAGGAAAUUUUUGACGUUACUUUAUGAAUAAGGGGCUCCCAAUCUCGUGCCAGCAGGAGCGGUAAUACGAGAGCCUCAAGCGUUAUCCGGAAUCAUUGGGCGUAAAGGGUGCGUAGGUGGUUUGAUUAGUCUCCCGUUAAAACUUCGAGCUUAACUCGAAAAGAGCGGGGGAAACGGUCAAACUAGAGUAUGUGAGAGGUGUGUGGAACUCAUGGUGUAGGGGUGAAAUCCGUUGAUAUCAUGGGGAACACCAAAAGCGAAGGCAGCACACUGGCACAUCACUGACACUGAGGCACGAAACCUAAGGUAGCGAAUGGGAUUAGAUACCCCGGUAGUCCC